rnacentral:rRNA from 1 species
ACGGCUCAGUAACACGUGGACAACCUACCCAAAGGUCUGGGAUAACUCCGGGAAACUGGGGAUAAUACCGGAUAGGUCAAGAGUACUGGAAGGGUUUUUUGAUUGAAAGCUCUGGCGCCUUUGGAUGGGUCUGCGGCUGAUUAGGUUGACGCCGGUGUAAAGUACCGGCGUGCCGAUUAUCAGUACGGGUUGUGGGAGCAAGAGCCCGGAGAUGGAUUCUGAGACACGAAUCCAAGCCCUACGGGGCGCAGCAGGCGCGAAAACUCUACAAUGCAGGCAACUGCGAUAGGGGAACAUCGAGUGGCAUCUACAUUAGGUGUCUGUCCAGCUGUCUAAAAAACGGCUGUUAGCAAGGGCCGGGCAAGACCGGUGCCAGCCGCCGCGGUAAUACCGGCGGCUCGAGUGGUGGCCGAUAUUAUUGAGUCUAAAGGGUCCGUAGCCGGCUUUGCAAGUCUUGUGGGAAAUCCAGCGGCUUAACCGUUGGGCGUCUGCGGGAUACUACAUUGCUUGGGACUGGGAGAGGUAGGAGGUACUCAGGGGGUAGGAGUGAAAUCCUGUAAUCCUCUGGGGACCACCGGUGGCGAAGGCGUCCUACCAGAACAGGUCCGACGGUGAGGGACGAAAGCUAGGGGCACGAACCGGAUUAGAUACCCGGGUAGUCCUAGCCGUAAACGAUGCCCGCUAGGUGUCACGGCAGUCGUGAACUGCCGUGGUGCCGUAGGGAAGCCGUGAAGCGGGCCACUUGGGAAGUACGACCGCAAGGUUGAAACUUAAAGGAAUUGGCGGGGGAGCAC